rnacentral:tRNA from 1 species
UUCAUAUUAGUAUAAAAUUACUUCUAGAAUGUGGGUUUAGAGUUAUAUGAAA